CCGCUAUAAGCUCUGGGCUAUAUAUAUACUUUCGUAAGCAAUUAAUUCGUAAACGGGGGGGUUAAUACAUGGACGAUCUUUUGUGUUAGUAAUAAACGAGUCAGACAUAAACAAGUCAGUCAUAAACAGGAAAAUAAACAUGUAUUAAUAACGUGCUUUGAUUAACAUAGUCGGCUAUAAAGACAAUGACAAUGUUUUUAAACAUCGUUCUCUGCUAUAUUAAAAGACAAUGCCAAUGUUGAAGAACGUAGUGGGCUACCGGGCUUAUAUUCGGGGGACUUAUAUUUGGGGGACUUAUAUUCGGGUGGGCUUAUAUUUGGAAUGAGGUGAGCGUCAGU